rnacentral:rRNA from 1 species
AUUGAACGCUGGCGGCAGGCCUAACACAUGCAAGUCGAGCGAGCGGCGGACGGGUGAGUAAUGUCUGGGAAACUGCCCGAUGGAGGGGGAUAACUACUGGAAACGGUAGCUAAUACCGCAUACCAUCGGAUGUGCCCAGAUGGGAUUAGCUUGGAGGUGAGGUAACGGCUCACCUAGGCGCCGAUCCCUAGCUGGUCUGAGGGGAUGACCAGCCAAACUGGAACUGAGACCAGGUCCAUACUCCUACGGGAGGCAGCAGUGGGGAAUAUUGCACCAUGGGCGCAAGCCUGAUGCAGCCCUGCCUCGUGUAUGAAGAAGGCCUUCGGGUUGUAAAGUACUUUCAGCGGGGAGGCGUUACCCGCAGAAGAAGCACCGGCUAACUCCGUGCCAGCAGCCGCGGUAAUAC